ACUUUUAAAAUGCGAUAUAAAAAAAACAUUUCUAUCGCCGUUUUUUCGUUUUUAAACUUUUAAAAUGCGAUCUAAAAAAACAUUUCUAUCGCCGUUUUUCGUUUUUAAACUUUUAAAAUGCGAUCUAAAAAAACAUUUCUAUCGCCGUUUUUCGUUUUUAAACUUUUAAAAUGCGAUCUAAAAAAACAUUUCUAUCGCCGUUUUUCGUUUUGAAACUUUUAAAAUGCGAUCUAAAAAAACAUUUUUAUCGCCGUUUUUCGUUUUGAAACUUUUAAAAUGCGAUCUAAAAAAAACAUUUCUAUCGCCGUUUUUCGUUUUUAAACUUUUAAAAUGCGAUCUAAAAAACAUUUCUAUCGCCGUUUUUCGUUUUUAAACUUUUAAAAUGCGAUCUAAAAAAGCUUUUCUAUCAAAAUUAAAGUUUCAAUCUUUGUUAAAAUAUAAUAAUUUCUAUGGCUUAAAAGGUUUAUUUAACCCGCGCAACCAACAAUGCCUUCUCGCUAGUUUAUUUAUUUUCCACGCAAAACUUUUGUUUAAUAAAAAUAUUAAACAAUGGCUCUUCGUGUCACAUUGAUAGAGUUGAUAACAUUUGCAAUUAUGCUAUUGGGAAUAGUUUUGUUAACACUAUUUAACAAUAGUUACGCGCAGUUGUAAUAAGCUAUUUUUUCUUCGAUAAUCUUUUGUUUAUUACGCGUAAGUUAAUGACUUACAAGACUCGCAAGAUAAUUAAUAAGAACAAAAGACAAACAACUACCGCCUCCGAGAAAAAGGUGUGAAACUUGAGCGUACGCGUACGCUUACAUCUGGACUGUACUGUAGGAUGCAUUAAGUAUAUUUCAUUUCUUUCUUUGUGGAACUGUGAUGAAUAUGUUCAUCAUUUAUCUAUAUUGAAUAUUUAAUUAUUUUUUUAUUUAUUUUACUAUUAUAUGUUUUACUAUACUGGUUCAGAAAUUUUUUCAUUCAGGGUUAAAGAAUGUGGCUCAGGGGCGACUUAAAAUUGAAGGGUCCGGAAAUAAAGCAUGACGACAUGCGCGGUGAUUCGAGUUGUUGUUGGAAAUCCUCAGUGAUAAUGGUGUGGUGUGCGAAGCAUGUCAGAGGGGUUUAUUAAGAUAUUCUUUGAGUCAUUAAUUCAUAUUUUCAUUCUCCAGAGGGAAAGUGAAGACAAUAAUGAAUUUUUUUAAUUACGACAACAACGUGUAUCUUGUUUUUUCUCAAGUCUUUUUAGAUUGGCGUCACGAUCACUGACGCAAGUUACAGUUGUACAAAAUAUUUAAAGCAAUUCUUGCGGUCAGAUUUGCGUCAUAACACUGGUUGAACAAAUCACGGGCCAGUAUUCAGGUUAAGCAGCCAUUAUGAAAUGGUGUAUAAAUGCUGCAAUCAUAAUGUUUUUGUGGUGAAACCUUCAUAAUUACAAUAUGGAUUUUUCAAGGAAUUCUUUUUUUUUUUAGUCAAAUCUUUAAUAUGUUUUAGAUACUGCUUAAUUUUUUCCAUUUUGCGACAUUUUAUCGCUGUUUUUGCUUGUAAAUUCUGUUUAAUUAAGGUUGCUACUGUGAAGGUUUGACCAUGAAAAGUCCACUUUGUACCCCAUCAGAGAGCAACGAAGGAGAACAUUCCUACCGCAAGAAUGUAUGUAAUAAACUAGGUUUCUUGUGUAUGGUGGGAAAGUCUGUUAUAACACAACUGUUAAAUUUCUCAAACCCUCAAGCAACUAAUUAGGCUUUUACUUUAGUGGCUCCAUCAUCUCUCUUGAACUGUGAUGAACCAGUGUGUUGUGAUCACUUCAUGAUGAAAUACAGAUUUCUUUUCCAAAUCUUGAACAAUUUCUAAGUUCAAAGAUUUCAUCUCUUGUGUGUCUGAAAUUUUACCAAAAACCAAUAUUUUAUAGAAGAAGGUGCUUUACCAGCACAACGACAACAAACUCCUAAGGAUAGUUGGUGUCCACAUCAACGCAAUUAAUAACAUUUCGAAUCUUAGGAACAUGGAUAUGUAGUAUGUUUGGAAGAUGCUGCUCCAUCAGGUUGAAUAUCAGACUAUUGCUCAGUCACAACUGCUUCGUAAAGAACAAAAAUGUUAUGAAGAAUAAAGUUAUAAAGUUUUUUACUAAACAUAUAAUAAAAUUUGGUAGUUAAAAAAUAAAACGAAUGGGAAACGAUUUGGAAACGAUUUAGAAACAAUAUUCCGAAACGAUUUAGAAUCAACUUCUGAAACGAUUCGGAAACGAAUUCGGAAACAAAUUAUAAAACAAAUUGUUAUUUUGUUUUUCUUUGAAGCUUAAUUAAAAAACAAUUAAAACGCAAUAAAAAUCGAUUCUUAAAAAUUAUUUUAAAGCAGAUGUCGAUCCUGGAGAAGGCGUCAUUUACAAGCUUAGACUUCUUUUAUAUAUUAGUACACUUUUAAAGAAAUCUUAUAUUUAUUGUUUAUUCAUACGUUAUAGUUUUUCCAAAAAACUAAAACACCAUGACGACGUUAAAUGAAAGUGAAUUUAAAUGUGCCAACCCAGAGGUAGCACCUUUCCAUUUUAAAAGAAAACGGACCAUAAACUGUUGUUCUGGCUUCAUAAGAUCUGAUAUGGAAAGAUUGUACAGUGUUCAUGAGUUGGCAGAGGGAAGUUUGUUGAGGAAAACGAAAAUACUCUGGCCAAGUUACUGAUAAGUUACUGAUAGGCCCUAUCACUAAGCCAGUUGAGAAUAAUUACUGUGAAUAAAUCAACGACAAUGACUUUUUAUUUUUUGAGUGUGUGUUUACAUGCAAAAACAAGACUUGCAUGCAGUUAUGGUGUGAUAUUUUUAUGUUGCUAGGUACAAAAUCAUGUAAAGCUAUAUACAGAAAACAAAUUAACUUCAGUUACCUGGGGAAAUUAUUGGAUAUUUUCCUCCUUAGAAUGCAAUUAUUUAAAAUUGAUUAUCCAAAAAAAAUUAAUAAAAUUUCAUGUGGAAUAUAACUUGUUAAAAAUAAUCCUAAAAAAAGCAAACAAUCGUUACUUCUUGUCUGGAAUUAAAAAGCGAAUAAAUGUUGAUAUAUCAUUCGCAAUCUGAAGAGUAGGGUUAAAAGGUACGAUAAGUUCCAUUGUUUCGAAAAAUAUGUUCUUGUUAUUUAUAGACUUUUAUAAUCUGGUACAUGAAUAAUUAAUUAUUUACAUUAGCUUUCUGAAUAAUUUGUUUAGGUUUCUUAUGAAAGAGUAUUUAAUGUUAAAAGAGACAUAUAGGUAUCGGUUGUUGUACAAUCUUUAAAACAUCACUGUUUUGUAUUAGAAAAAAUAGUGAGAGAACUUAAAAACCCAAGUCUAACAAAGCCAUAUUUUGUUAUACAUUGCGAAAAAAGAGUCUACAAUAUGUGAACAUUAUGUCUAAUAAAUAGAUAAAUCUUAUCUAAGAAAAAAUUAAGUUACCUACGAAUUAUCCUUUCUCACAAUUUUGAAAUUUCAAGUGCAGCCCGCUACGUAGUUAAAACUAUGCGUAUUUAUUUAAAAACUUUAGAAUUUAAUUCGUAACUGGUUCUAUAGAAAUCGGCUACAAAUACUACCCAUGACAAUUGCAAUGUAAUAAAUUAGAAACAAUUUUAAAAUGAUCUAUAGGCAACGAAACAAAUUGUUUGGAAAAAAGUGUGAAAGGAUUUUGAAAUAAAGUUGAAACAAAUUUUAAUGAAGUACUUACGAUGAGAUUGCGAAGCGAUUGAGAAAGGAUUGCGAAACGAUUCUAACUGAAAUAAAACAAUUUUAAAGCAAAUUUAUAAUUGUUGAUAUGAUGGCAUAUGAAUUUGACUACUUUGAUACCAAUUUGCAUAAGCAUGACCACUUCAACUCAUACUCCUUCUUUAAGAAACGACUUCCUCUGCAUGUAACUAGUUAAAAUGUUGCUUUUAUUGCAACCAAUUAGGCUCUUAAUCAAGUAGUGGCAAGUUGUUUUUGGAAAGUACAAAACGUUUUUUAUUGUUGACAACGAAGAAGUUUUUUUAAAUUAUUAUAAUUAAUAUUUGUGACAUUGCUUUUUGUUUCUCUUGGUGGUUUAAAAUGCCUGGUACACACCCAAAACCUCAAAACUAAAAAACAAGGUUUUUUAUUGUGACUUAAUUUUUUUCAUCAGGUGGAAUGAGUGCCUGUGAAGCUGUGAAGGUUUACUCUGUACCACGAGCGACAAUUGGGACAAACUUCGGGGGUAAAAGCAAAUCAGUAGUUACUUCUAGAGGAAAUGCACCAGUUAUUUCCAAAGCUGAUAAAGAUUGAUUUGCGGAAUGGAUACUCAAUAUGAUCUGAUAUGGUUUUCCGCGCACACCCUUAUAAAUUUAAGAGGCUGUCAAAUGUAUCUAGAUAAAUCGAGAAUUAAAACUCCCUAUUUUGUUGAAAAUCGCCCUGGAAAAACAUGUUUUUUUGGUUUUCUUAAAUGCUAUCCCGACAAUAAACUUGGAUGGGCCAAAAAAUUGGAACAGGCAUGGGCAAUAGCGUGUACAGAAGAAAGUGUGCACGCUUGGUUUGAUACUUUUGAGGAAUUCGUGAAGGAAAAUAUAAUAUCUUUUGAUAGUCAAAUCUUCACCUGUAAUGAGCCUGACUUCCCAUUGCAGUCAAUAAAAGUCUGUUGUGACGAACAAAUUAGAGGAAAAUUCCAAAUAACCAGCAGAAACAAGACAUCUAUUGCAUGCUUGCAAUGCAUAUGCACAAAUGGUCUGUAGUCGCACCUGCAGUCAUCUUUCGAAUUGUGAAUAUUUAUCCUGAAAUGCUAUUUGUUUUCAAAAGUUUUUAUUUUGGAUUCACCAAAAUCGGAUGGAUUGAAACCACCCAGUUUUUUUGGGUGGCUCAGCAAUCAUUUUGUGAAAAGCAUUCCGCCAUUAGGACCAUGCAUGUUGCUUGUUGAUGGCCAUGCAUCACACAUUGAUUACCACACAAGCCCAUUUUGUCAACGAAGUCAAAUCUUGUUGUUCUGCCUACCUCAGCAUACCUCUCAUGCAAAUCAACCAAUCAACCUUUAACUCAUUGCGACUUUUUCAUUGUCUUUAAGCACAAUUUCUACUGGAUUAUGACCUGUAGGCAGUUUAAAUGUAGACCACGACCUUUUUAGACCUGCAAACGUCUUGGAUGAAGAGACAACGAAGGAAAGAAAAUUAUGCUACUUUGACGUCUGACACAAGUUUUAGCAGUCUGGCAUGACAAAUAUGGCCUAUGUGAAUGGAGUAGAAUCAAGUCAAACCAGCUAGCUCAAAGUGGCACAACUCCCCAAAAUUGCAUCCUGUCCAACAAGCGUUGAUUAAUAUGAAACAAGGUAUUGGAAAUAAGAAACAUAUUUUUCUAAAACGCUUUAUGGAAGACUUUUCCAUCCCCAACGAAAGUUUUUAACAAGCUUUGAAAGUCCUUUACUAAGGUUUGUUAGAAGUCAAAAAGAGAAACUUUGAUUAGAUGGUUUUCCUUUCUCCCCACAAGACAACGUAAAUCCGAUUACAACUCGAUAUUGCGCUACCUGAAGAUAAAAGAAAACAAAAACAAUAAAAAAUAAAAAAUAGGAAGGACUUUCCAAAACACAUGACCAGUGUUACAGCCAUUAAAUUCCUAAAUAUACAACACAACGUAAAAGAUCUGACUAAAGCUUGUUAAGGAGGCUAACGGACAAAAGCAAAAAUCAAGACUGCUGUUAAAGCUAGCCAAUCUGAAUUAGCUUUAGUAGAGACAGGAAAAUUAAGUCGCUCACCUAAAAAGAAAAUAUUUUUAAUGGAAUGGAAGAUGGUGUGGAAAGGUUUGGAUCCAAUGGGACAAGUGUUUGACUUGGUUUCGUGCUGCAUGCACUAACUAAAAGAACGAAAUUGAUGCGCUAUUCCAAUCGAAGUGUAAAAAUUGUUUUUUACACUUCCAUUGGAAUAGUGCAAAAAUUCCAGUUUUAUUUUAUUGUCCAUUUAUUUUAUUAUCCAUUGGAAUAGUAAAAGUUCCAGUUUUAUUUUAUUUUAUGACAAUAAAUACAAAUUGUAAUAACACAGAUACUUUA